UAGUUUGCCACCGCGGGCUAAAGCAUAGUUAUUCUAGUUCACCGUCAUAGGCUAAAGUGUGAUUUAUAGCUUGCUAGUCACAGACUGCAGCAUGAUCGUGGUGAGUCUGAAAUACUAAAGACAAUGGUUGAUUGAUCUAGAUCAUGUUAAUGAGAUAUGGAUGACAAGCUACAAAAUCAUAAUUAAAUAAAAAUGAGUUUUACCU
rnacentral:lncRNA from 1 species